GUAGGUGGCAAGCGUUGUCCGGAAUUAUUGGGCGUAAAGCGCGCGCAGGCGGUUCUUUAAGUCUGAUGUGAAAGCCCACGGCUCAACCGUGGAGGGUCAUUGGAAAACUGGAGAACUUGAGUACAGAAGAGGAAAGCGGAAUUCCACGUGUAGCGGUGAAAUGCGUAGAGAUGUGGAGGAACACCAGUGGCGAAGGCGGCUUUCUGGUCUGUAACUGACGCUGAGGCGCGAAAGCGUGGGGAGCAAACAGGAUUAGAUACCCUGGUAGUCCACGCCGUAAACGAUGAGUGCUAAGUGUUAGGGGGUUCCCGCCCCUUAGUGCUGCAGCUAACGCAUUAAGCACUCCGCCUGGGGAGUACGGCCGCAAAGGCUG
rnacentral:rRNA from 1 species